rnacentral:rRNA from 1 species
UAUUGGACAAUGGGGGGAACCCUGAUCCAGCGACGCCGCGUGAGUGAAGAAGUAUUUCGGUAUGUAAAGCUCUGUCAGCAGGGAAGAAGAAAGAAAUGACGGUACCUGACCAAGAAGCCCCGGCUAACUACGUGCCAGCAGCCGCGGUAAUACGUAGGGGGCAAGCGUUAUCCGGAUUUACUGGGGUUAAAGGGAGCGUAGACGGUAAUGCAAGUCUGGAGUGAAAUGCAGGGGCUCAACCCCUGAACUGCUUUGGAAACUGUAUGACUGGAGUGCAGGAGAGGUAAGUGGAAUUCCUAGUGUAGCGGUGAAAUGCGUAGAUAUUAGGAGGAACACCAGUGGCGAAGGCGGCUUACUGGACUGUAACUGACGUUGAGGCUCGAAAGCGUGGGGAGCAAAC